rnacentral:tRNA from 1 species
UGAGGUGUCGCUCAGUGGCAGAGCACUUGCCUGGCAUACACAUGGUCCUGGGUUCAAUCCCAGUACCACAA